UUUCAAUCUAGCAUACUGAUCUUAUCCUCAAAAUACAACUUUCCUAAACCUUGAGGGUGUUUCGAAAAAAGGUACCUAUCUCCAAAGCAAUGGUGGAUAGAAUAUACAUGUUGUCAAAGAAGUUAAAAAAACUAACCCACAAAACAACCCUAAAACUUGUUUUUUCACCACUGUACCCACCCAUCUUCUACGCCUAAUCAGAAAUUCUUCAACUCUGAGUCCUUUCCUUAUCCACCACCACCAAUUCAGCUAAAGGGUCCAUUCAAUGGUUCAUUCAACACAAUCAUGAUCAAACCGUAACAGAUUUAUCUUUUUCCUCAGUCAAAACCUUAACAGAUUUAUCUUUUUCUUCGGUCAAAACCUUAACAGAUAUAUCUUUUUCUUCAGUCAAAACCUUAACAGAUAUAUCUUUUUCUUCAGUCAAAACCUUAACAGAUUUACCCUCAUCACCAUGACCCUUUCCCACAUUUUCACCCAGCUCCUUCUUGCACAUUAAAUCGACGAAAAAAUCUGUCAAAACUUUCUCAUAGCCCGGCAUUUUAGCAUACCCUGGAAAGUAAUUAAUAUCAAUAAUAAGAUACCGAUUACCAUAUCUAGAAUCACGAAUCACAUCGAAAUUAAACAAAUUCAGCUUCAUAGCACGCCUCAAUCCACUAGCAAUAUCAACAAUAAAAGCUUGCGGAGGCAUCUCAGUAGUAUCAUCCAAACUCAUCAUCUUAUAAAACUUUUCAUCAUCAUCCACACUAUCCCUAUUUGCCAAAUUCGACACCUGCGAAAACGACAACAAAUCCUCCGAAACACCCAACACCUUCUCCUCAGAAACAUCCGGUAAAGACUUCCUCUUCACGCAACGAACAUGAUUACCAACAACAUACACCUUAAAAAUCACCCCACCAUGAUUCACAAAUUCCUGCAAAACAAUUGGUGGUUUCAGCUUAUUCAACGCCCCGUGGCUAAAAACCAACGCCAUUUUAUGCGAUUUCGCGCUUCCAUCGGCCACCAACGGCUUCGCUAUCACCGGAAACUUUAAACUCUCCCAAGCCUGGCCAUCAGAAAGAGUCUCUUUAUCAUAAAUCACGAUCUGUUUCGGGAUCCCGAAUGUUUCGCCGCCUUUUUCAUCAACCCCAACCCUAACCCUAAGCUCAGAAACAACCUGAAGCAUUGAAAUUCGGUUAUGAAGACGCUCAAUCGCUUCCGGCGCGUCGAGAAUAACAGCAUUAGGGUUUCGAAUUUGAAAUUGUUGAAGCUGGCGUUUCCAAUCGUCGCCGUAGAGUUUGUGGAGGAUGCAAUCGAACGGUCCUUGAUCGAUUAAGGGUUUGGUUGAAUCGAUUUGGAUGAGUUUAAUUCCGCGUGAUGAAGCUAGGGUUAAGAGUGAGUCGCGGAUGAAACUGUUUUGUUUCUUUGGUGCUAAUGCGUAACCUAUUACGCCGUGUUUCUUUUCAGCCAUUGGAUUGAUUUGAUCAAAAUUCUUGUGAUUGAUUUCGUUUUUUUGUGAAUGAAUGAACAAUCACAUUAGAGUGGGGAAACCCUAAUUUUGGAUGUUUAGGGUUUCGAUUUUGGGAAUUGGGGAAAGAAGAAGAAGAAGAAGAAAGUAAAAUUGGAGGGAGAGAGAGAAGGGUAUGGGGGUGUGUAUAUAUAGGUGGUUAGAGAAUUAGGGUUGGAGUUAGAGAGAAGGAAGGGGAAUGAUAAGGUACACGUGGUGAAUUGAGUAGAGGGUUUGCGCCGCUUUAUGAAGGGCGUGUUGAAAGAAGGAGAGGGAUAGGGCCGUAAGGAAGGGUAUGAGGUGGAAUGGGUGGAUAAAUGUUAAAGAGUGUCUUUGGAACAUUAGUUAAGAGAACAUAAUUAGAAAUAAU
rnacentral:lncRNA from 1 species